CACACACUCUUUUAUGAAUGGUUUAUGAGAAUGAUCCCUGGUUCGAAACCAUUUUGAUUGAAUUAGAAGUGGUCUCGGACCAGGCUUCAUUCCCACCAACGUUCUAGAAGUCAACAUUGAAAGCACAUUAUCACUCAUGUCUUUUCUUGAACAAGAAAUCAAAACAAGAUGACAUUUAUACAGCUGACAUGGCAAUUUUGAUGACGUGGCGGCCAUCAUGGCAAUUUUUAUGACGUGGCGGUUGAUGUGGUAGCUGACAUGACAUUUUUUGAUGACAUGGCAGGUGAUGUGGUUGCUGACAUGGCAUUUUUCGAUGAUGUGGCAUCUGAUAUCAUAUAACUGAGUUAGAGUUCAGUUAGUUUGGGAGUGUCAGAGGAAAAUAAGUUAAAAGUUAUGAGUGAUAUCGGCCAACCGAUGAAAUUAGGGUUUUUUAAAUCCGAUAUCUCAAUUUUAAAUAAAGAAUUAACGAAACUCAUAUAGAUGAGUGUAUCUAUCGCUUUGAAUGUAAUAUACAGGAUGGUUAU
rnacentral:lncRNA from 1 species